GAUGAACGCUGGCGGCGUGCCUAAUACAUGCAAGUCGAGCGAACGGACGAGAAGCUUGCUUCUCUGAUGUUAGCGGCGGACGGGUGAGUAACACGUGGAUAACCUACCUAUAAGACUGGGAUAACUUCGGGAAACCGGAUCUAAUACCGGAUAAUAUUUUGUACCGCCUGGUUCAAAAGUUAAAGACGGUCUUGCUGUCACUUAUAGAUGGAUCCGCGCUGCAUUAGCUAGUUGGUAAGGUAACGGCUUACCAAGGCAACGAUGCAUAGCCGACCUGAGAGGGUGAUCGGCCACACUGGAACUGAGACACGGUCCAGACUCCUACGGGAGGCAGCAGUAGGGAAUCUUCCGCAAUGGGCGAAAGCCUGACGGAGCAACGCCGCGUGAGUGAUGAAGGUCUUCGGAUCGUAAAACUCUGUUAUUAGGGAAGAACAGAUGUGUAAGUAACUGUGCACAUCUUGACGGUACCUAAACAGAAAGCAACGGCUAACUACGUG
rnacentral:rRNA from 1 species